rnacentral:lncRNA from 1 species
CCAGUGAAACAGAGGACAUUAUUUUAAUGGAAGACAUCAGUGCAUUCUCAUAUAUUAUUCCUUCUUUACAUAUAAAUAAUGCAAUACAAAGCUUCAUUGUGAAUUAGGCUACUCUAUUUACAGUAACUAAUGUUGGUCGCCAGGUGUCAUCAGACAUGCCCUCCCCAAGUUGUGGGUUUCAGCGCAAGUUAUCAUUAGCUGGCGACCUGAAAGUUGAACCCUGACCCCUGUGAGGAACUAAGCAUUACAUUCUGCAAGGCUGAGGCUGAUUCUGCGCUCCCAUUUAAGCCCAAGGCACUUUUGUCUAUCAACAACAAUUAACAGAGACACUUCAAACAAUACAAUAACAAAUCAAUGUUUCAGUCGUAAAUAUGAUUCUGACUUGUGCGUUUGGGCAGCUUCAUGCAGAAAAUACAGGAACUUACUGUUAGAUGGGAUCAACAACUUUGCCUUGAGCCCAGCAGCAGCAGUAGCAGCCUGCUCUCUGGAGUGAGUGCCUCGUUAAGAUGAGACAUAUACUCAUUUGCCUGGCUAAAUACACCCAGGCAGUGUGUGUUGGAUGGUCCCAGCCUCAGCAUGUGUAGUGGGUGAUGGAGUCAAGCUGUUCCUGCCGAGCGGGGGGGGGUCAGGGUCCUUCAGUCAGCACCCCGUCCCUGAACGGAGCACACAGGAAUCGCCCCUUCCUUCUACACCUCUCCAUCCCCCUCUUCCCCUGGUCUGGCUGCAUCCCUCGCUCUCCCUCCCUCAACCCCAGGUCCAAAUAAACCUGGUAGCGCUGUUGCUCUCCUCUCUCCCCUCCCUCCAUCAUCCUGAGCAGUGCGCUGUCACUCCCCUCAUCAGGAUCAUUAAUCAGGCCAGGCAGAUUAGAGUUCAAACACAAAUAAACCAGCCCAGUGCCCUGCUCUUAGCUCCCCUCAGCUCCACCGUUCCCCAUUCCACUCAAACUGCACUGCAUGACCUGUCCAGCUCAGUCCAGCACUGCAUAGUUCUCUGCUUUCAGGACGUGUAGGAAAGGAUGAUUGGGUGAAGAGUGGACUGGUGUGGAAUAGUGUACUUGACAUGUUUGAAGACUUAAAUAGUACGACAUCAUUUAUGUGACUGGUAAAAAUCACAAUAGUAUAAUGGCAGUUAAGUGAAAUAAACAAACCGCCUUAUCUCAGAGGGUGAUGACUUUGUGGGCUAAACUGCCAGCCGUGUAAAUACACAAUUUUAUCAGUUAGCGCUGCAAAUGCCUCUAUGGUCUCCACAUUCAUAACAUAACAGACAUCUCAAAUAAGGAUUAAAAGAUUCCAAUGUGCACCGUGAAUGUGCCAGGGCUUAUUCAUUAUACACUGACUUCACUACCCUAUCAUUUCUUUACUGGCAAGUUAUUCAAAGAAAAUAAGAGGGCAAUACCGCCACCUUUAGGCAGCAUUUGGUACUGCCACCACUGUGGCCCAGGUAGUUUCUCUCCCGUAGAGGGAUUGGGUUGCCAGAGGUUGCUGGCCAAGGCGUCCCCACACACAGACUGACAGAGGUUGUUAUUGUAGUCCCACUGUAUUCCUUUGUGCAUUGGGGUUGAGGGGAGGUGAGAGGGGGGGGGGAGAGCAGAGUGCUGGAAUGAGUGGAGGCCUAAUCAAGGGCUCUGCACUCUGGCCCAGACCGGGCCCUGUGCUGCUCUGCACCUCUCUGACUGACAGCCUGCCCGCCGACUGUUUGUGUGUGUCCAUGGGAAACGGGUAGUGUCACCGCGGCGACGGCCCUUGGCCCAUCCAUCAGUGUCACCCGGGCAACGCAUAUGUCACUUUCAAGACUAAUGGACAGGAAGAACAGGAGGAGAAACAACAAUAUUUUCUGAAUAUAUUUCAGAAACAUUAGUUGCCCAGCUUUCUCUCUCUUAUACAGUUAUUUUUCAACAAACUGGAAUGGGUCCUAAUUCUGAUUUAUGAGCCAGUUUAUUUAAAGGAUGCUGCUUGUGUCUGGACGUUUUCACGAACGUGGGUCUAGAACUCCUUAUGGCUUUCAGAGGGAGAAGGGGACAUACUACAUACAUUAAGGGGCUACAUUGGGUAACCAUGGCCUGGUUAAUGUGACCACUAGUCAAACCUGACACAGAUCUAGCUUUACCUAGAUUUGGCAUUGCAGUCAUGACCUGGAGGACCCUGCAAUGAUAAGACGGAGUGGAGACCUGAAAUCCAGAGGAACUGGGAUGUCAGGGAAAGCAGAGCGUGCUUCUACAGGUUUUACAUGGACCGUUAUGAGGUGGCUAGGAGACAAGUGUUGCAACCAGAGCUAUAUAUAUGCAUUACAAUUACUUCCCUGUAUGCGUCUCUAAUGGGACCAUAAUGCCUUUCUAGUGCACUACUUUUGACCAGAGCCCUAUGGGCCCUGGUUGAACGUAGUGCACUACAUAGGGAGGAGGGUGACAUUAGGGACACAUUCCCUGUCUCUACGAGGAGGUUCCUUCCCGUGUGCUCAGGUGUGUUCAGAGAAGGGGGUGCUUAACCUCAGCAGCCGGUAACCGUGGCGUCCAGCCCUGAGCGCUUGCUGACGUUGACUUUGGUCAGCUCCUCGGCACAAGUGGGGUGGAUCCCCACGGUCUCCUUCAGGUGAGUGAGGGUGGCCCCGCAUCUGGAGAG